GACGAACGCUGGCGGCGUGCCUAAUACAUGCAAGUAGAACGCUGAGGAGAGGAGCUUGCUCUUCUUGGGUGAGUUGCGAACGGGUGAGUAACGCGUAGAUAACCUGCCUUGUAGCGGGGGAUCACUAUUGGAAACGGUAGCUAAUACCGCAUAACAUUGUGUGACACAUGGCAUUUUGUUAAAAGGGGGCGUUGCUGCACUACAUGAUGGACUUUCGUUUGAUUAGCUAGUAGGUGAGGUAAUGGGUCACCUAGGCGAGGAUAUAUAGCCCACCUGAGAGGGGGAGUGGCCACACUGGGACGGAGACACGGCCCAUACUGCCAGAGGAGGCAGCAGUAGGGAAACGUCAGGCAUGGGGGGAAAACUUACCGCGCAAGGCCGAGUGCGGGUAGAAGGGUGUCGGAUCCUAAAGAUCGGUUUUAAGUCAAGAACCGGCUUGAGACUGGAAAGUUCACACUGUGACGGUAGCUGAUCAGAAAGCGACGGCUAACUACGUG
rnacentral:rRNA from 1 species